CGCGUAGGGUGCGAGCGUUGUCCGGAAUUAUUGGGCGUAAAGAGCUCGUAGGCGGUGUGUCGCGUCGGCCGUGAAAACCUGGGGCUUAACUCUGGGCUUGCGGUCGAUACGGGCAUCACUGGAGUUCGGCAGGGGAGACUGGAAUUCCUGGUGUAGCGGUGAAAUGCGCAGAUAUCAGGAGGAACACCGGUGGCGAAGGCGGGUCUCUGGGCCGAUACUGACGCUGAGGAGCGAAAGCUGGGGGAGCGAACGGG
rnacentral:rRNA from 1 species